CCCGUCACACCAUGGGAGUGGGUUUCACCAGAAGCAGCUAGCCUAACCGCAAGGAGGCAGAUGCCGAAGGUAUGGAUGGUGAUUGGGAUG
rnacentral:rRNA from 1 species